GGCGUGUACUGCUUGGCUGGGCCUUACUUCUUGGUGAGCCGGCCUGCCCUUUAUUGGUGUGCGUCGGGGAACCAGGACUUUUACCUUGAGAAAAUUAUAGUGUUCAAAGCAGGCCUAUGCCUGAAUACAUUAGCAUGGAAUAAUAGAAUAGGACGUGCGGUUCUAUUUUGUUGGUUUCUACAGUCGCCGUAAUGAUUAAUAGGGACAGUUGGGGGCAUUGGUAUUGAGUCGCUAGAGGUGAAAUUCUUGGAUUGACUCAAGACCGACUAUUGCGAAAGCAUUUUCCAAGGAUGUUUUCAUUAAUCAAGAACGAAGGUUAGGGGAUCGAAAACGAUCAGAUACCGUUGUAGUCUUAACAGUAAACUAUGCCGACUAGGGAUCGGAUGACCUCAAAAUUGAUGUGUCAUUCGGCACCUUACUAGAAAUCAAAGUCUUUGGGUUCUGGGGGGAGUAUGGUCGCAAGGCUGAAACUUAAAGGAAUUGACGGAAGGGCACCCCCAGGUGUGGAGCCUGCGGCUUAAUUUGACUCAACACGGGGAAACUCACCAGGUCCAGACAUAACUAGGAUUGACAGAUUGAUAGCUCUUUCAUGAUUUUAUGGGUGGUGGUGCAUGGCCGUUCUUAGUUGGUGGAGUGAUUUGUCUGGUUAAUUCCGAUAACGAACGAGACCUUAACCUGCUAAAUAGCCAGGCCGGCUUCGGCUGGUCUCUGGCUUCUUAGAGGGACUGUCAG
rnacentral:rRNA from 1 species